AUGAAGCUGGAAUCGCUAGUAAUCGCGGAUCAGAAUGCCGCGGUGAAUACGUUCCCGGGUCUUGUACACACCGCCCGUCACACCAUGGGAGUCGGUAACGCCCGAAGUCAGUGACCCAACCGAAAGGAGGGAGCUGCCGAAGGCGGGACUGGUAACUGGGGUGAAGUCGUAACAAGGUACC
rnacentral:rRNA from 1 species